AGGUCCGUGGCUCAACUGGUUAGAGCACCGCACUCCAAAUGCGGGGGUUGAGGGUUCAAGUCCUUCCGGGCCUGCCA
rnacentral:tRNA from 1 species